rnacentral:rRNA from 1 species
UACGUAGGGAGCGAGCGUUGUCCGGAUUUAUUGGGCGUAAAGGGCGCGUAGGCGGUUCGGUAAGUCGGAUGUUAAAUCUCCAAGCUCAACUUGGAGCUGUCAUCCGAAACUGCUGUGACUAGAGGUCUGGUAGGGGAACACGGAAUACCUGGUGUAGCGGUGAAAUGCUUAGAUAUCAGGUGGAACACCAGUGGCGAAGGCGGUGUUCUGGGCCAGUACUGACGCUGAGUGCGCGAAAGCGUGGGGAGCGA